UACGUAGGGUGCGAGCGUUGUCCGGAAUUAUUGGGCGUAAAGAGCUCGUAGGUGGUUUGUCGCGUUGUCCGUGAAAACUCACAGCUUAACUGUGGGCGUGCGGGCGAUACGGGCAGACGUGGAGUACUGCAGGGGAGACUGGAAUUCCUGGUGUAGCGGUGGGAAUGCGCAGAUAUCAGGAGGAACACCGGUGGCGAAGGCGGGUCUCUGGGCAGUAACUGACGCUGAGGAGCGAAAGCGUGGGGAGCGAACAGG
rnacentral:rRNA from 1 species